rnacentral:rRNA from 1 species
UGUGUAGGCGGUUCUCUAAGUUCGGUGUGAAAUCUCCCGGCUUAACUGGGAGGGUGCGCCGGAAACUGGAGGGCUGGAGUAUGGGAGAGGAAAGCGGAAUUCCUGGUGUAGCGGUGAAAUGCGUAGAUAUCAGGAGGAACACCUGCGGUGUAGACAGCUUUCUGGACCAUCACUGACGCUGAGACACGAAAGCGUGGGUAGCAAACAGGAUUAGAUACCCUGGUAGUCCACGCCCUAAACGAUGCAUACUUGGUGUGAGCCGUUCAUUCGGUUCGUGCCGGAGUUAACGCGUUAAGUAUGCCGCCUGGGGAGUACGGUCGCAAGGCUGAA